rnacentral:rRNA from 1 species
UUAAGCGACUAAGCGUACACGGUGGAUGCCCUGGCAGUCAGAGGCGAUGAAGGACGUGCUAAUCUGCGAAAAGCGUCGGUAAGGUGAUAUGAACCGUUAUAACCGGCGAUGUCCGAAUGGGGAAACCCAGUGCAAUUCGUUGCACUAUCGUUAACUGAAUACAUAGGUUAACGAGGCGAACCGGGGGAACUGAAACAUCUAAGUACCCCGAGGAAAAGAAAUCAACCGAGAUUCCCCCAGUAGCGGCGAGCGAACGGGGAGCAGCCCAGAGUCUGAAUCAGCUUGUGUGUUAGUGGAACGGUCUGGAAAGUCCGACGGUACAGGGUGAUAGUCCCGUACACCAAAAUGCACAGGCUGUGAACUCGAAGAGUAGGGCGGGACACGUGGUAUCCUGUCUGAAUAUGGGGGGACCAUCCUCCAAGGCUAAAUACUCCUGACUGACCGAUAGUGAACCAGUACCGUGAGGGAAAGGCGAAAAAGAACCCCGGCGAGGGGAGUGAAAAAGAACCUGAAACCGUGUACGUACAAGCAGUGGGAGCACCUUCGGGUGUGACUGCGUACCUUUUGUAUAAUGGUCAGCGACUUAUAUUCUGUAGCAAGGUUAACCGUAUAGGGGAGCCGCAGGGAAACCGAGUCUUAACUGGGCGUUAAGUUGCAGGGUAUAGACCCGAAACCCGGUGAUCUAGCCAUGGGCAGGUUGAAGGUUGGGUAACACUAACUGGAGGACCGAACCGACUAAUGUUGAAAAAUUAGCGGAUGACUUGUGGCUGGGGGUGAAAGGCCAAUCAAACCGGGAGAUAGCUGGUUCUCCCCGAAAGCUAUUUAGGUAGCGCCUCGUGAAUUCAUCUUCGGGGGUAGAGCACUGUUUCGGCUAGGGGGUCAUCCCGACUUACCAACCCGAUGCAAACUACGAAUACCGAAGAAUGUUAUCACGGGAGACACACGGCGGGUGCUAACGUCCGUCGUGAAGAGGGAAACAACCCAGACCGCCAGCUAAGGUCCCAAAGUCAUGGUUAAGUGGGAAACGAUGUGGGAAGGCACAGACAGCCAGGAUGUUGGCUUAGAAGCAGCCAUCAUUUAAAGAAAGCGUAAUAGCUCACUGGUCGAGUCGGCCUGCGCGGAAGAUGUAACGGGGCUAAACCAUGCACCGAAGCUGCGGCAGCGACACUAUGUGUUGUUGGGUAGGGGAGCGUUCUGUAAGCCUGCGAAGGUGACCUGUGAGGGUUGCUGGAGGUAUCAGAAGUGCGAAUGCUGACAUAAGUAACGAUAAAGCGGGUGAAAAGCCCGCUCGCCGGAAGACCAAGGGUUCCUGUCCAACGUUAAUCGGGGCAGGGUGAGUCGACCCCUAAGGCGAGGCCGAAAGGCGUAGUCGAUGGGAAACAGGUUAAUAUUCCUGUACUUGGUGUUACUGCGAAGGGGGGACGGAGAAGGCUAUGUUAGCCGGGCGACGGUUGUCCCGGUUUAAGCAUGUAGGCUGGUUAUCCAGGCAAAUCCGGAUAAUCAAGGCUGAGGUGUGAUGACGAGGCACUACGGUGCUGAAGUAACAAAUGCCCUGCUUCCAGGAAAAGCCUCUAAGCAUCAGGUAACAUUAAAUCGUACCCCAAACCGACACAGGUGGUCAGGUAGAGAAUACCAAGGCGCUUGAGAGAACUCGGGUGAAGGAACUAGGCAAAAUGGUGCCGUAACUUCGGGAGAAGGCACGCUGGUGUGUAGGUGAAGUCCCUGCGGAUGGAGCUGAGACCAGUCGAAGAUACCAGCUGGCUGCAACUGUUUAUUAAAAACACAGCACUGUGCAAACACGAAAGUGGACGUAUACGGUGUGACGCCUGCCCGGUGCCGGAAGGUUAAUUGAUGGGGUUAUCCGUAAGGAGAAGCUCUUGAUCGAAGCCCCGGUAAACGGCGGCCGUAACUAUAACGGUCCUAAGGUAGCGAAAUUCCUUGUCGGGUAAGUUCCGACCUGCACGAAUGGCGUAAUGAUGGCCAGGCUGUCUCCACCCGAGACUCAGUGAAAUUGAACUCGCUGUGAAGAUGCAGUGUACCCGCGGCAAGACGGAAAGACCCCGUGAACCUUUACUAUAGCUUGACACUGAACAUUGAGCCUUGAUGUGUAGGAUAGGUGGGAGGCUUUGAAGCGUGGACGCCAGUCUGCGUGGAGCCAACCUUGAAAUACCACCCUUUAAUGUUUGAUGUUCUAACGUUGGCCCCUUAUCGGGGUUGCGGACAGUGUCUGGUGGGUAGUUUGACUGGGGCGGUCUCCUCCCAAAGCGUAACGGAGGAGCACGAAGGUUAGCUAAUCCUGGUCGGACAUCAGGAGGUUAGUGCAAUGGCAUAAGCUAGCUUGACUGCGAGCGUGACGGCGCGAGCAGGUGCGAAAGCAGGUCAUAGUGAUCCGGUGGUUCUGAAUGGAAGGGCCAUCGCUCAACGGAUAAAAGGUACUCCGGGGAUAACAGGCUGAUACCGCCCAAGAGUUCAUAUCGACGGCGGUGUUUGGCACCUCGAUGUCGGCUCAUCACAUCCUGGGGCUGAAGUAGGUCCCAAGGGUAUGGCUGUUCGCCAUUUAAAGUGGUACGCGAGCUGGGUUUAGAACGUCGUGAGACAGUUCGGUCCCUAUCUGCCGUGGGCGCUGGAGAAUUGAGGGGGGCUGCUCCUAGUACGAGAGGACCGGAGUGGACGCAUCACUGGUGUUCGGGUUGUCAUGCCAAUGGCACUGCCCGGUAGCUAAAUGCGGAAGAGAUAAGUGCUGAAAGCAUCUAAGCACGAAACUUGCCCCGAGAUGAGUUCUCCCUGAGACUUUAAGUCUCCUGAAGGAACGUUGAAGACGACGACGUUGAUAGGCCGGGUGUGUAAGCGCAGCGAUGCGUUGAGCUAACCGGUACUAAUGAACCGUGAGGCUUAACCUU